CCUACGGGAGGCAGCAGUGGGGAAUCUUGCGCAAUGGGCGGAAGCCUGACGCAGCAACGCCGCGUGUGGGAAGACGGCUUUCGGGUUGUAAACCACUUUCAGGGGGGACGAAGCUUCCGAGGUUAAUAGCCUACGGGGUGACGGUACCCCCAGAAGAAGCCCCGGCUAACUACGUGCCAGCAGCCGCGGUAAUACGUAGGGGGCGAGCGUUGUCCGGAAUCAUUGGGCGUAAAGCGCGUGUAGGCGGCUUGAUAAGUCUGGUGUGAAAUCUUGGGGCUCAACCCCAAGCCUGCACUGGAUACUGUCAAGCUUGAGUCCGGGAGGGGAGAGCGGAAUUCCUAGUGUAGCGGUGAAAUGCGCAGAUAUUAGGAAGAACACCGGUGGCGAAGGCGGCUCUCUGGAACGGUACUGACGCUGAGACGCGAAAGCGUGGGGAGCGAACAGGAUUAGAUACCCUGGUAGUCCACGCCGUAAACGAUGGGCACUAGAUGUGGGCGGUGUCGACUCCGUCCGUGUCGAAGCUAACGCAUAAGUGCCCCGCCUGGGGGUACGGCCGCAAGGCUAAACUCAAGNGAUGCGNGNGNGAGNGCGAGCGACGAGAGGAG
rnacentral:rRNA from 1 species